CCGGAAUGCAGCGAGCUGAUCAGCCAUGCCGCGUGUGUGAGAAGGUCUUCGGAUUGUAAGCACUUUAAGUUGGGAGGAAGGGCAGUUACCUAAUACGUAUCUGUUUUGACGUUACCGACAGAAUAAGCACCGGCUAACUCUGUGCCAGCAGCCGCGGUAAUAGUA
rnacentral:rRNA from 1 species